AGAGUUUGAUCCUGGCUCAGAAUGAACGUUGGCGGCGUGGAUUAGGCAUGCAAGUCGCGCGAGAACCCUUUCGGGGGGGACAGCGGCGGAAGGGAGAGUAACGCGUAGAUACCUACCCUCGGGACCGGAAUAGCGACGGGAAACUGUCGGUAAUGCCGGAUAACGUCCCUGGACCAAAGGUGCGAUUCCGCCUGAGGAGGGGUCUGCGUCCUAUUAGCUAGUCGGCGGGGUAACGGCCCACCGAGGCGAAGAUGGGUACCGGGCGUGAGAGCGUGGCCCGGCUCACUGGGACUGAGACACUGCCCAGACACCUACGGGUGGCUGCAGUCGAGAAUCUUCGGCAAUGAGCGCAAGCUUGACCGAGCGACGCCGCGUGCGGGAUGAAGGCUUUCGGGUUGUAAACCGCUGUCAGUAGGGAGGAAAUUCGGGGGGGUCAUCCCCUUCGAUUGACCGAUCUGCAGAGGAAGGACGGGCUAAGUUCGUGCCAGCAGCCGCGGUAAGACGAACCGUCCGAACGUUAUUCGGAAUCACUGGGCUUAAAGAGUGCGUAGGCGGCUUGCCAGGUGGGGUGUGAAAUCCCUCGGCCCAACCGAGGAAUUGCGCUCCAAACCGGCAGGCUCGAGGAAGAUAGGGGCGAGCGGAACUGAUGGUGGAGCGGUGAAAUGCGUUGAUAUCAUCAGGAACACCAGUGGCGAAGGCG
rnacentral:rRNA from 1 species